UGAACGCUGGCGGCGUGCCUAAUACAUGCAAGUCGAGCGAACAGACGAGGAGCUUGCUCCUCUGACGUUAGCGGCGGACGGGUGAGUAACACGUGGAUAACCUACCUAUAAGACUGGGAUAACUUCGGGAAACCGGAGCUAAUACCGGAUAAUAUAUUGAACCGCAUGGUUCAAUAGUGAAAGACGAUUUUGCUGUCACUUAUAGAUGGAUCCGCGCCGCAUUAGCUAGUUGGUAAGGUAACGGCUUACCAAGGCAACGAUGCGUAGCCGACCUGAGAGGGUGAUCGGCCACACUGGAACUGAGACACGGUCCAGACUCCUACGGGAGGCAGCAGUAGGGAAUCUUCCGCAAUGGGCGAAAGCCUGACGGAGCAACGCCGCGUGAGUGAUGAAGGUCUUCGGAUCGUAAAACUCUGUUAUUAGGGAAGAACAAAUGUGUAAGUAACUAUGCACGUCUUGACGGUACCUAAUCAGAAAGCCACGGCUAACUACGUG
rnacentral:rRNA from 1 species